CGGCCACAACCAGGAAGAACAAUCAAGACAAAUGCCUGGCAUGCCAUUCAGCUGUAAAAAACUGGGCAGAGUAGUCGCCAAGAGAUGUGAUCUACAUGUAGCUGCACCAAGAAAAAUACCUGGAGAUACCCGGAGAAAGCUCUUGGUUUGCAUUGCCAUUCAUGCCAAUGCCAGUUGUUUGGCUGGCGCAGGACCCCGAAGGUAAGUGAUUUGAAACCCGCCAUGGUGUUGAGUUCUGACGCCCACUUAUUGUUAGCCAANUUAGCUUUUUUUUCUCUUUUUUUUUUCCUUUUUCUUUUUUAACUGUUAAAGGGAUAUUUCACCCCCCCCCCCCACCCAAAAAAAAUAAAAAAAAUAAAUAAAUUCUGUCAUUAUUUGCUCAUCCUCAAAUUGUUCCAAAUCUGUAUGAAUUUAUUCUGCUGAACACAAUAGAAGUUUUAGAAGAACCUGAAGAUGGGUAAAUGAUGACAGAAUUUUCAUUUUUGGGUGAACUAUCCCUUUAAGCAUAAAUAAAUCUAGAAAAAGUUUGAGAGGCUUAUGCUUAAAACAAAUGAUCAAAUACACUUUCUAAUGGGGUACAUGUUGUUGUUUUAAGAAAACAGUAUAUAUAAGAAUUAUAUUUAUAUAGUAUGCUUAAGAAAUUACUUUUUUUUUUUGUCUUUCAUAAUUUUAUGAUUAUGUUCUUGCUGUGUACUUUAGAUCAUUUUGCCUUUUAGCAGUUGGGUCUCCCGAGAUGAAAGAUGUUUUCGUCAUCAUUUUUUUUUUUUUUUCUUGGUAUGUAGGAUUAUAUUGUUUUGAAGGCUAGGCUCCAUUUCUUAACUCCCAGUUACCAUUUAGAAAAUCAGUUACCUUUUAAAUAAUAAUAAAAAAAAACUUAAGAUAUGUAGAGAAAAAGGGUGGAAUUAUCCUGUGAAAUCCCACCAGCACUUCUUCUUGUCUGUAGAAGAAAGGAUGAGAUCAUAAAGCAAAUGUUUAACACACACUCUGCAGGUUGGAUCAGUGCAACUAUCAGUAUGCGGGGGAAAUCGCUGUCAUUACGCAAAGAGUGGAAACACAUGCUAGUUUUUGCACUUUGCUUUUUCCCUUUUUUUCCAGAAUCACAUUGAUGAGCUUGUGUUGUUGUGGAAACCUAAUGUGAGAAUGUGAGAGACUAAAUUUCAAGUGCGUUGAUAAAUUCUUAAGUGGCUUCAUAUGGUUCCUCUCUGCAUGUUGAAAGCCCUUGAGUACAGAUAAGUUCCCCUACACCUGAGUCUUGCCAAGAGGAAAUGCUUAUAGGAAUGAGGCCCUUUGCAUAUGUUCACUCCGUAAGUGCUGCUUGGUUAUAUGUGCUUCGUGUUUGCUUUCAGCUCAUGAGUAGUUUCAAAUGGGUUUAAAAUGUGUGUAAAUCUAAACAGGACUUAAGACUGUGAAUAAAAUGUCCACCAGUCCAGUAAAAACAACAAUCAGUCUUUAUAUGAAAUAUAGUGAGAAACACUAGUUUAUGUACUUAAAUCCUAAUAGUCAUAGUUUAUAUGAAAGGCCCUUCAUCACAGCACACAGCACUGACUGUUGGGUAAGCGGUAGAAUGAGGAGCUGAAAAGAUGUGCACUCUGUGAACUGAAGUGCAUACAAAAUUUACAAGAUACACUCUAGUGACACACACACACACACACACACACACACACACACACACACACACACACACACAAGCUGUUCCAUAUAUUAAUUGCUUAUAUUAAAGCAAACACAUUAAGUUUAAAUGGAUAGUUCACCCAAAAAUUAAAAUACUGUUAUUAAGUACUCACCAUCGGGUCUUUCCAAACCCGUAAGACCUUCAUUCAUCUUCCGAACACAAAUUAAGAUUUUUGAUGAAAUCCAAGAGCUUUCUGACCCUGCAUAGACAGCAACGCAGUUACCACAUUCAAAGUAAUUAUUGACAGAAUAUUCAUUUUGGGUGAACUAUCCCAUUUAUAUAUGUGUUUCUUCAGUUAUGGCCCUGUGAACUUUACGAAAUAAGCAUCAUUGCAGAAUGUUUUUAUUUUUUUUCACACUUGCCAUAUUUUCAAACAUUUUUGACAUUGUUACAGCUUGAUUUCAAAUGCGAUUAAAAUGAUAUGAGUGAAUUUAGAUUGUCAUUGUUUCAAACAUGUACAAUUUCCCUGGAGAGUGAAAUAAUAAAACAAUAAAAAUGUAUACUGAUUUCUAUAGAACAACACAAGGAAAAAAAACAACAUUGUAAUUUAUGUACUUAUUUAUUUUUGCAAAACUCUG
rnacentral:lncRNA from 12 species